rnacentral:antisense_RNA from 1 species
AGCCCGGUCCACCACAGCCUUCAGCAGCGGCACUCGCAGACUCCGACCUCUCAGACCGAGUGAGCCCAGCUAAGCCGUUAGGCGCGCGCCUGAACCUCAGCGCUCCGAACUCUCAGACCGAGACAGCGGGCUGGGAAGCCAGGGGCCGCCGGGACCUGGGGCUGGAAACCACAUCUGCCCACAGCCGCAGCCUCCUGCACCUGUCAUCCUGGCGGCGCCCUGACGUCGGAGAAGCAGCAGGCGCGGAGCUCCUGCAGCGGGCACCGCUGCAGCAACCCGACCCGGCGUAGGCGGCAGUGGAAGGCGGCCUGCUAGCACGGCUCCCGCGGCCCCAGGACCAGGGGUGCGGCCAGCACCGCCCUCACUCCCCGCGUCUCGUGGAUAUUGCCCUCCCUGGAGGCGGCUGGACCUAAGCGAGGCUCGCAGCGAUCGGCCCCGCGAAGACUCGCAUGCAGGGCUCAGGAUCCCGCAUUCUGGCGCCGCGGCACCGCACCUUUCAGCAGCCCUGCUCCUCUUCUUGUUGGUAAACUUUUGUCACUCUGCCAUGAAAAGCAUCCAGGCGUCCUUGAUUUCGACAUUGCAUGCACGCUCAGCCGAGCUCAUCAGACGGGCGGUUGUCCCCAGAGCCCGCGGGUAGCUUGUUCCUGGGCGGCGGCUCCUCCUGGAUGCAGCUCCUUGUGGGCCUACCAGGCUUGGUGGAGCCAAGGCCCGCCGUGGCCGGCAGACCUGUGGAGAGGAAGAGUAAGGCGGGCUCUGCAGGGCAGUGGGCC